UGCAACUCGCCUGCAUGAAGUCGGAAUUGCUAGUAAUCGUAGGUCAGCAUACUACGGUGAAUACGUUCCCGGGCCUUGUACACACCGCCCGUCAAACCAUGAGAGUUGGCAACACCCGAAGUCGGUAGUCUAACCGCAAGGAGGACGCCGCCGAAGGUGGGGUUGAUGAUUAGGGUUAAGUCGUAACAAGGUAUC
rnacentral:rRNA from 1 species